rnacentral:sRNA from 1 species
AAAUUCUGGAGAAAUUGUUCAAAGUAGUCCUAAACUGUUCAUCCUAUCCUGCCUUACCCUUCUCUCAGAAACCCCAAUAAAGGCCAUGCCUUACAACUUACCUUGCUCCUGUUUCUGCCUCCUGACCACUCUGGUCUUCCCCAUGUUGCCAUGUAUGGCAUGCCUCCUGUCUCUAGGACCUAUUCAGCAAAAGGGAAAAACAAUGAAAGUCUGUAUUAGUAACCAGAAAAGGUCAGAAGUCUGAGGUACCUGAGAGAAGACAGAAAAAUGAGAUCUGGAAUUUGAGGAGCGCCUGUUAGGAGAAGAGCCAUCUUUACUGUAAGCACAAGCAACACAGAGGGAAUGGGGAUGUCAGGAGGGUAUCCCAAGGACAACAUAUAGGAUUUUGUCACAUUUUUCCUCCAAAGAUCACAGAAAACUUGUGAUCCAUAUCCACUAUGUUUUGUUCCAAGUCUCUGAUAAGUAAGUCAUCCAACCCAUGUUAAAACAGGCUGGAUUCUUGCAUCAUAAGACGUAAUUUAUAUUUUUAUGAGAUCCUUUUAGCUGC